AACUGAAGAGUUUGAUCAUGGCUCAGAUUGAACGCUGGCGGCAGGCUUAACACAUGCAAGUCGAGCGGAGAGAGGUAGCUUGCUACUGAUCUUAGCGGCGGACGGGUGAGUAAUGCUUAGGAAUCUGCCUAUUAGUGGGGGACAACAUUUCGAAAGGAAUGCUAAUACCGCAUACGUCCUACGGGAGAAAGCAGGGGAUCUUCGGACCUUGCGCUAAUAGAUGAGCCUAAGUCGGAUUAGCUAGUUGGUGGGGUAAAGGCCUACCAA
rnacentral:rRNA from 1 species